GACGAACGCUGGCGGCGUGCCUAACACAUGCAAGUCGAACGGAGAAUUAGCAAUAAUUCUUAGUGGCGAACGGGUGAGUAACGCGUAGACAACCUACCCUUUAGAAGGGGACAACACCGCGAAAGUGGUGCUAAUACCGAAUAUUGCUUGAGAAGCGCAUGCUUUUCAAACUAAAGAUGGCCUCUAUUUAUAAGCUAUCGCUAAAGAAUGGGUCUGCGUCUGAUUAGCUAGUUGGUGAGAUAAAAGCUCACCAAGGCAACGAUCAGUAGCCGGCCUGAGAGGAUGAACGGCCACACUGGGACUGAGACACGGCCCAGACUCCUACGGGAGGCAGCAGUGGGGAAUCUUCCGCAAUGGACGAAAGUCUGACGGAGCAACGCCGCGUGAGUGAUGAAGGUUUUCGGAUCGUAAAACUCUGUUGUUAAGGACGAAUGUAUAGAUUGUGAAUAAUGGUUUAUAAUGACGGUACUUAACGAGGAAGCCACGGCUAACUACGUGCCAGCAGCCGCCGUAA
rnacentral:rRNA from 1 species